GUUUUGGAACCUUAUUUUUCAACGAGAGGGAACUAAAAAUCAGUUUGGAGCAAACACUUAGAAAAAAAUUGACAAACUACUUUCCACGGUCUUUUUUUUUUCAAUUACUUUCCCCAAACAGUCGAUAUCUUUUCUAAGUGUUUGCUCCAAACUCAAAGUCGUUUUGUCUCCACAGAGACCGGAACCCUGACUCCGGCAUUCCCGGCGAUUUGAAAUCCGACUCCGACAGCUCACCAGACCGCGACUCUAGGUACGGAAACUAUCCACCUGAAGCAACUUGUGGAUAUAGUUGCAAGCAUAAGAAAACAUUGGAGGAGGAUCCUUCCGCUUUUGCAUUUGAUGAAGUUUAUGAUGACAUGAAACACAGAGACAUUGUUCCUAAACUGCAAGAUCGUCAACACCUCAAGGAUCUGGUAAAGGGGUUUCAGGCACUCCGCUCCAUAUUGCGAAUGCAGAGCUUGCUCCAACUCACCCAAUCUGUCUAGGUCUGGCACUGAACUGAUGAGUUAUGUGCAGGCUCCAAAAACUUCACAAGAUAAAAUGGCUACUGAGCUUCAAGACAAAUAGAAAAUACUUGCAAAUCGCAUGAUCAAAAUGCAAAGUUUUGUCUAUUGUUUUUGAUUCGUUGUUGAUCCUUACCUGUAACAUUGUUUUAAGACUGCUAUGUUUUUAUAAAUCAAUUUGUAGUUUAUAAAUUAUGGAAUAUUUAUUUUACCAA